AGUGGCGGACGGGUGAGUAACGCGUAGGAAUCUGCCUAGGUAGUGGGGGAUAGCCCGGAGAAAUCCGGAUUAAUACCGCAUACGCCUACGGGGGAAAGCAGGGGAUCUUCGGACCUUGCGCUAUUAGAUGAGCCCGCGUCUGAUUAGCUUGUUGGUGGGGUAAUGGCCUACCAAGGCGACGAUCAGUAGCUGGUCUGAGAGGAUGAUCAGCCACACUGGGACUGAGACACGGCCCAGACUCCUACGGGAGGCAGCAGUGGGGAAUAUUGGACAAUGGGCGAAAGCCUGAUCCAGCAAUGCCGCGUGUGUGAAGAAGGCCUGCGGGUUGUAAAGCACUUUCAGUAGGGAAGAAAAGCCUAAGGUUAAUACCCUUGAGUCUUGACGUUACCUACAGAAGAAGCACCGGCUAACUCCGUG
rnacentral:rRNA from 1 species